UACGGAGGGUGCAAGCGUUGUCCGGAUUUAUUGGGUUUAAAGGGUGCGUAGGCGGCUGAUUAAGUCUGGGGUGAAAGCCCGUUGCUCAACAACGGAACUGCCCUGGAAACUGGUUAGCUUGAGUACAGACGAGGGUGGCGGAAUGGAUACUGUAGCGGUGAAAUGCAUAGAUAGUAUCCAGAACCCCGAUUGCGAAGCAGCUGCCUAGACUGAGUAACUGACGCUGAGGCACGAAAGCGUGGGGAGCGAACAGG
rnacentral:rRNA from 1 species